rnacentral:rRNA from 1 species
AGUGAACGCUGGCGGUAGGCCUAACACAUGCAAGUCGAACGGCAGCACAGGAGAGCUUGCUCUCUGGGUGGCGAGUGGCGGACGGGUGAGGAAUACAUCGGAAUCUACUUUUUCGUGGGGGAUAACGUAGGGAAACUUACGCUAAUACCGCAUACGACCUACGGGUGAAAGCAGGGGACCUUCGGGCCUUGCGCGAUUGAAUGAGCCGAUGUCGGAUUAGCUAGUUGGCGGGGUAAAGGCCCACCAAGGCGACGAUCCGUAGCUGGUCUGAGAGGAUGAUCAGCCACACUGGAACUGAGACACGGUCCAGACUCCUACGGGAGGCAGCAGUGGGGAAUAUUGGACAAUGGGCGCAAGCCUGAUCCAGCCAUACCGCGUGGGUGAAGAAGGCCUUCGGGUUGUAAAGCCCUUUUGUUGGGAAAGAAAUCCAGCUGGCUAAUACCCGGUUGGGAUGACGGUACCCAAAGAAUAAGCACCGGCUAACUUCGUGCCAGCCGCCGCCGUAA